rnacentral:lncRNA from 12 species
CCCAGAGUCAUUAUCUCUGCCCUCCGUCGAGUCCCCGCACCUCUGCGCCGGAGCCCGCGGGCCUCUCUCCGGCCGCGCGGUCCCGGGCGCGCCGCGCACCCUUUUCCCCUCGGCCUCCGGGGCCCCCGUGCCUCUCCGGCCGUGCCCCGCCUGCCGCGCGGAGGCGGCUCCUCAGGUGGCAGAGCCGGGGCCUCCCCCAGCAGACCUGUCACCCGACACCCAGGAAGCGCGCGGCCCCAUCCCGGCUCCUCUUUGUUCCCCCGCCGGGCUCCUGCUCGGGCGCCGCCUCCUCCCGCGUAGCGCUGUGGAGGUUCGGGGCGCCGCCCUCGGCCGGGACGUGCCCCGGGCUCCGUCCAUCCGGCCCCCUCCGAACCAGGGCCCUUUUUGUCUUGUUGUUCCCAUGUGGACUCCGCGCGGAGCUGGGAGGCGGCGGUGCGCCCAGCCCGGAGCCGGCGCAGUAACAUGA